rnacentral:rRNA from 1 species
CCCGGCGGCCGGCGCACGGGUGAGUAACACGUAUGAAACCUGCCCGUAGCAGGGGGAUAAGCGGAAGAAAUUCCGUCUAAUACCGCGUAACAACCCAUGGAGGCAUCUCUGUGGGUUUAAAGGAAGCGAUUCCGGCUACGGAUGGUCAUGCGUCGCAUUAGCUUGUUGGCGGGGUAACGGCCCACCAAGGCGACGAUGCGUAGGGGUUCUGAGAGGAAGGUCCCCCACACUGGUACUGAGACACGGACCAGACUCCUACGGAAGGCAGCAG